UACGUAGGGUGCGAGCGUUAAUCGGAAUUACUGGGCGUAAAGCGUGCGCAGGCGGUUUUGUAAGCCAGAUGUGAAGUCCCCGGGCUUAACCUGGGAAUGGCAUUUGGGACUGCAAAGCUUGAGUGCGGCAGAGGGGACUGGAAUUCCUGGUGUAGCAGUGAAAUGCGUAGAGAUCAGGAGGAAUACCGAUGGCGAAGGCAGGUCCCUGGGCUGACACUGACGCUCAUGCACGAAAGCGUGGGGAGCAAACAGG
rnacentral:rRNA from 1 species